rnacentral:tRNA from 1 species
ACUAAAUUAGUUUAUGUUAAAAAUAGUGAUUUUGUAAUUCACUGAAAAUGAUUAUUAUUUAGUU